rnacentral:rRNA from 1 species
CCAGAAAGGGACGGCUAANUACGUGCCAGCAGCCGCGGUAAUACGUAGNUCCCGAGCGUUGUCCGGAUUUAUUGGGCGUAAAGCGAGCGCAGGCGGUUAGAUAANUCUGAAGUUAAAGGCUGUGGCUUAACCAUAGUAUGCUUUGGAAACUGUUUAACUNGAGUGCAGAAGGGGAGAGUGGAAUUCCAUGUGUAGCGGUGAAAUGCGUAGAUAUAUGGAGGAACACCGGUGGCGAAAGCGGCUCUCUGGUCUGUAACUGACGCUGAGGCUCGAAAGCGUGGGGAGCAAACGGGAUUAGAUACCCUGGUAGUCCACGCCGUAAACGAUGAGUGCUAGGUGUUAGGCCCUUUCCGGGGCUUAGUGCCGCAGCUAACGCAUUAAGCACUCCGCCUGGGGAGUACGACCGCAAGGUUGAAACUCAAAGGAAUUGACGGGGGCCCGCACAAGCGGUGGAGCAUGUGGUUUAAUUCGAAGCAACGCGAAGAACCUUACCAGGUCUUGACAUCCCUCUGACCGCUCUAGAGAUAGAGUUUUCCUUCGGGACAGAGGUGACAGGUGGUGCAUGGUUGUCGUCAGCUCGUGUCGUGAGAUGUUGGGUUAAGUCCCGCAACGAGCGCAACCCCUAUUGUUAGUUGCCAUCAUUCAGUUGGGCACUCUAGCGAGACUGCCGGUAAUAAACCGGAGGAAGGUGGGGAUGACGUCAAAUCAUCAUGCCCCUUAUGACCUGGGCUACACACGUGCUACAAUGGCUGGUACAACGAGUCGCAAGCCGGUGACGGCAAGCUAAUCUCUGAAAGCCAGUCUCAGUUCGGAUUGGAGGCUGCAACUCGCCUACAUGAAGUCGGAAUCGCUAGUAAUCGCGGAUCAGCACGCCGCGGUGAAUACGUUCCCGGGCCUUGUACACACCGCCCGUCACACCACGAGAGUUUGUAACCCCCGAAGU